GGGUGCGUAGCUCAACGGUAGAGCAGUCGCCUUAUACGCGAUCGGUUCUAGGUUCGAAUCCUAGCGCACCCA
rnacentral:tRNA from 1 species